CACGUAGUUAGCCGGGGCUUCUUAGUCAGGUACCGUCAUUUUCUUCCCUGCUGAUAGAGCUUUACAUACCGAAAUACUUCUUCACUCACGCGGCGUCGCUGCAUCAGGGUUCCCCCCCAUUGUGCAAUAUUCCCCACUGCUGCCUCCCGUAGGAGUUUGGGCCGUGUCUCAGUCCCAAUGUGGCCGGUCACCCUCUCAGGCCGGCUACUGAUCGUCGCCUUGGUGGGCCUCUACCCCGCCAACUAGCUAAUCAGACGCGGGUCCAUCGUAUACCGUUUACGCUUUUCACACUGCUCCAUGCGAAGCUGUGCGCUUAUGCGGUAUUAGCACCUAUUUCUAAGUGUUAUCCCCCUGUAUACGGCAGGUUACCCACGCGUUACUCACCCGUCCGCCACUAAACAAAAUCACUAGGUUUCAUUCUGUUCCCGUUCGACUUGCAUGUGUUAGGCACGCCGCCAGCGUUCAUCCUGAGCCAGGAUCAAACUCU
rnacentral:rRNA from 1 species